rnacentral:rRNA from 1 species
AACGAACGCUGGCGGUAUGCUUUACACAUGCAAGUCGAACGGGUAAGAGCCGUAGCAAUACGGAAUUCUGCUAGUGGCAAACGGGUGAGUAACGCGUGGGAACCUACCUUAUAGUACGGAAUAGCCCUGGGAAACUGGGAUUAAUACCGUAUACGCUCUACGGAGGAAAGAUUUAUCGCUAUAAGAUGGGCCCGCGUUAGAUUAGCUAGUUGGUGAGGUAAUGGCUCACCAAGGCGACGAUCUAUAGCUGGUUUGAGAGGAUGAUCAGCCACACUGGAACUGAGACACGGUCCAGACUUCUACGAGAGGCAGCAGUGGGGAAUAUUGGACAAUGGGCGAAAGCCUGAUCCAGCAAUACCGCGUGAGUGAUGAAGGCCUUAGGGUUGUAAAACUCUUUUAGUGGGGAAGAUAAUGACGGUACCCACAGAAAAAGCACCGGCUAACUCCGUGCCAGCAGCCGCCGUAA